rnacentral:lncRNA from 1 species
GCCUGAUGUUCAUAUGAUGAAAUCGUAAUCUUUCAGUCAGUUUAAUUGAAGUCUGGAGCUGGCAUGUCAGUUAGCUGCUAGUAGUCUGUUGUUAUUUAUGUAUUAUUGUCAUUUUGUUUAUUUUCUUUGGUUACAUCUUCUGACAUCAGACUCGGACUUCUCUUGAACUGAAUUUUAAUUUGCGUAUCGUUAUGCGUUUACUUUUCUACAUUGGCUAGAGGUAUAGGGGGAGGGUUGAAAUCUCAUAAACAUGUUUAACCCCGCCGCAUUUUUGCGCCUGUCCCAAGUCAGGAGCCUCUGGCCUUUGUUUGUCUUGUGUUAUUUUAAUUUUAGUUUCUUGUGUACAAUUUGGAAAUUAGUAUGGCGUUCAUUAUCACUGAACUAGUAUAUAUUUGUUUAGGGGCCAGCUGAAGGACGCCUCCGGGUGCGGGAAUUUCUCGCUAUAUUGAAG